rnacentral:rRNA from 1 species
GACGAACGCUGGCGGCGUGCCUAAUACAUGCAAGUAGAACGCUGAAGAGAGGAGCUUGCUCUUCUUGGAUGAGUUGCGAACGGGUGAGUAACGCGUAGGUAACCUGCCUGGUAGCGGGGGAUAACUAUUGGAAACGAUAGCUAAUACCGCAUAAAAUUGAUUAUUGCAUGAUAAUUAAUUGAAAGAUGCAAUUGCAUCACUACCAGAUGGACCUGCGUUGUAUUAGCUAGUUGGUGAGGUAACGGCUCACCAAGGCGACGAUACAUAGCCGACCUGAGAGGGUGAUCGGCCACACUGGGACUGAGACACGGCCCAGACUCCUACGGGAGGCAGCAGUAGGGAAUCUUCGGCAAUGGGGGGAACCCUGACCGAGCAACGCCGCGUGAGUGAAGAAGGUUUUCGGAUCGUAAAGCUCUGUUGUAAGAGAAGAACGGGUGUGAGAGUGGAAAGUUCACACUGUGACGGUAUCUUACCAGAAAGGGACGGCUAACUACGUG